UGCCAGCCGCCGCGGUAACACGGGGGGCGCAAGCGUUAUUCGGAAUUACUGGGCGUAAAGCGUGCGUAGGCGGAUCGACAAGUUGGGGGUGAAAUCCCGGGGCUUAACCCCGGAACUGCCCUCAAAACUGUCGAUCUAGAGACCGGGAGAGGUAAGCGGAAUUCCUAGUGUAGAGGUGAAAUUCGUAGAUAUUAGGAAGAACACCAGUGGCGAAGGCGGCUUUCUGGACCGAUACUGACGCUGAGACGCGAAAGCGUGGGGAGCAAACAGGAUUAGAUA
rnacentral:rRNA from 1 species